AUUCUUGCCGUGAAAAAAGAAAAAGAAAAAAGAAAUCCAAAAAAAUGGCAAUUGCAACUGAUUUUAAGCAUGCAAAGGUCAAUUGAAGGUUUCACGAGGAUCCCCGUAUAAUUUUUAUUUUUAUAUUCCCUUUUCCUUUUCAUAUCUAUUCUUGUAUUUUUGUUAUUAUUUUAUUUUUUUUUGCCAAACCAAAGAUCAGAUUUUUUUUUUAUUUUUUUGAAAAAAAUAAAUCCCUGUGUUCUAUUUAUCUUUCCUUUUCUUUCUCCCAAUCUGCCUUUCCUUCCUUCUAUCCUUUGUUUGUGUUUGUGGUUUUUUUCUUUUUUAUCCACUCUCUCAGCCAAACACCUCCAUAUCUGCUUCUAUACCCUUCUUACAUUCUCUAUUUCCCUUCCGUUUAAAAUGCAGCAUUGACGACAGCGACGUGAGAAUCUAGCGACGAAGGCCUGGCGAGUGACCACGCGACCCCUUCAAUCGGUUCCGGCGAAGGCAAGGCAAUGCUAAAACCCUAAUCCUAAAAUCCACAGGUGAGGGGUUUGCUUGACGUUUAAAUGGUGUUAUGCUAUUAUGGUUGCUGUUGUGGCAAUUUCAAGGGUUAGGCAUGUCCCCUCAAUCAUCAGGUUCACUCCCCUCAAGGGUGAAGCUAAUUGGAAUGAGUGGCGUCGGUGGCGGUAUAAGUAAUGCAGUUCAGUUUCCAACAAAGAUGAACAAGAUGGUAAUAACUGACUUGAACCCUGAUGUGCUGAAAAUUCUUAUGAUUUUGGUUGCGAAAUCAUCAAAUGGGGCUGCAGAUCUGGCAAGGGCAAUAUCCGUCUGUAGCUCUACUUAAAGAGCUUCGGCUCUUUGCUGCGGUUGAAGGUUUGAACAGUCAAUCAUCUGAGAAUGAGGUGACUUUGUCAAUUGAACAUGAUGCUUCGGAAACAGAGGGGAAUAUGUAGUUAGGAGUGGUUGAUGCUCCUACUCAGCAGCACUGUUCUAAAGAUUCUUUUUCCGGGACGGAUUUUGAUCAAUCUGAAGUGGAUUUACUGGAACCUCUGGCAGUUGUGCGGCCAGAUUGUUUGGAGACGACCAGUGAUCUGGGUAUGGAAUGGGUUAUUGAGAAUAUUGGAGCAGUAAGUGAAGCUUUUGGUGUCUCUGCAGAAGGUUAUGAGGAACAAACCUUGUCUAUUCUUCACAAAAUUGUUGCAGGAAAUGGUAUUACUGAACCUAAUCGUGGCACAAAAGAAGUCAAAAGUCAGAAAUUCACAUCGGAAAGGCGAACAGGAAGUGAAGAAUCUGAUUUCUUGUGUUAAUUAUGACGGGAAGAAUGGGAUGACCAAAGAAAGGGGAAGAACCAAAAGUGGUAAACGGGGAGGAGGAGAAUUGAUCGUUUUUGGUUCUACAUGAAGCUACGACUUAUAACAUGGUAUGUUUGUGGUCUAAAUGAUUCGAAAAGAAGAAGAGUUGUCAAGGUAGCUUUGAGGAAGUGGAGUGCUCAUGUCGUAUGUUUACAAGAAACUAAGAUGGCUGCUAUCACCAUUGAGAUUGUUAGGAGUCUUUGGGGAGGUAGGUUUGUGGAAUGGGAAGUGUUGAACGCAACAGGCACUUCAGGUGGUAUUCUUCUCAUGUGGGAUCGAAGGUGGUUGUCAAGUUUGAAUUGUUGGAAGGGUAUUUUCUCUGUGUCUUGUCUGUUUCAGAUGGAGGAAGACAAUUUCAGGUGGGUGUUUUCAGGUGUUUAUGGGCCUGUUACUGAUAGCGAUAGACCAGUCCUAUGGGAAGAGCUUUGCUAUGUUAAGGAUUUAUGGUCAUUGCCUUGGUGUUUAGGUGGGGAUUUUAAUUCUGUUAGGUCCCCAUUUGAGAGGUCCACAGGGGGCAGGUGGUCCUCAGAAAUGACUAUGUUUUCAGAAUUCAUUGAUAGUAAUUUCCUCAUUGAUCUACCAUUGGAAGGAACGGCCUUUACGUGGUCUAAUGGUAGGGAACCGGUUACUUUUUCCCAGUUGGAUAGAUUUUUGAUUUCUGGGGCGUGGGAAGAGCAUUUCCCUGGCGUGGGAAGAGCAUUUCCCGGAUGUCUCUCAGGCUGUGUUGGUUAAAGUCACAUCUGAUCAUGUGCCUUUAGUUCUUAAUUGUGGUGGUUUGAGUUCUAGACGCACUCCUUUCCGCUUUGAAAGCAUGUGGCUUAAAUCCAAGGACUUUCAAGGGAAGGUUCAGUCUUGGUGGGAGGAAGCGAAUUUCACAGGCUCUGCUAGUUUUGUGGUAGCUAGAAAGUUUCAGUUUCUUAAAAUUGAGUUAAAGAGGUGGAAUAAAGAAGUGUUUAGGAAUCUUGAAUGGAAGAAGAAUAGAGUUCUUGCUGAUAUUGCUGAGCUCGAUCGUCUUGAUGAGGUGGGACAGAGUGGGGAAUCAUUAUGCUCUAAAAGAGCCUCUUACCAAGCGGUUUUUGCUGAGAUUGCUCUUAUGGAGGAGAUUUCGUGGCGCCAGAAGUCUCGGGCUUUGUGGUUAAAAGAUGGGGAUCGUAAUACAAAUUUUUUUCAUAGACUUGCCAAUGCUCACAGAAGAUGUAAUCACAUCGGGCGUAUCCGGGUCAAUGGUUCUGAAUUGUGGAGGGAGGACGAGGUGCGCGGGGGAAUUGUUUCUUUUUAUCAGCAGCUUUACACUGAGACUUUGGAUUGGAGACCUACUCUUGAUGGUCUUCCUUUUAAUUCUAUUUUUGCGUUGGAUAGUGAUAGGAUUGAGAUUCCAUUCACGGAGGAGGAAGUUCAUAAGGCACUUUCUAGUUGUAACGGGGACAAAGCUCCAAGGCCAGAUGGGUUUACUAUGCGAUUUCUUAAGAAGAGUUGGGAGGUGGUGCAAGUUGAGGUGAUGGGCACCUUUCAGGAUUUUUAUUCUCAUGGCACAUUUGAGAAAUCUCUGAACGCAUAUUUUAUUGCUCUCAUUCCCAAAAAGGGCGGUGCCUCUGAUAUUAAGGACUUUGGGCCAAUUAGCUUAAUUAGAUGUUUGUAUAAGCUUAUUGCCAAGGUUCUUGUCUCCAGGAUGAGUAAUGUUUUGGAUGGUCUUAUUUCAGAAUUAUAGAAUGCUUUUGUUGGUGGGAGACAGAUUUUGGAUUCUGUUCUUAUUGCAGGGGAAUGUGUUGACUCUAGAUUAAAAAGUGGGGUUCCUGGCGUUUUGUGUAAGCUUGAUAUUGAGAAAGCUUAUGAUCCCAAUAUUGAGAAAGCUUAUGAUCAUGUUAAUUGGGAGUUUGUUCUGUAUCUGCUUCGGAGGAUGGGGUUUACUGACAGGUGGAUAAAAUGGAUUGAAACUUGUAUCUCGUCAGUUAUGUUUUCUGUGCUUGUGAAUGGUUCACCUGCGGGUUUUUUUGCUAGCUCGCGUGGUUUGCGACAAGGAGACCCAUUAUCAUCUUUUCUUUUCCUUAUUGUCAUGGAAGGUCUGAGCAGAUUAAUGAGAAAAGCGGAAGAUUUGGGUUACAUCAGGGGGUUCAGAGUUGGCAGAGAUGUUGAACAUCAGAUGUAGAUCUCUCAUUUGUUGUUCGUGGAUGAUACUUUGGUAUUUUGUGAUGCUGAAGUUUCUCAACUCAUAUAUCUGAGGUGCAUUCUUGCUUGCUUCCAAGCCGUUUCUGGGUUAAAGAUUAAUGUCAGAAAGAGUGUGCUUGUCUCAGUGGGGGAUGUUCCGGAUAUUUCCUCCUUAGCUGCUGUCCUAGGGUGUGGUGUUGGUGCUUUUCCUCUUCCUUAUUUAGGAUUGCCUUUGGGAGUUUCUUCUACACGAGUUGGGACUUGGGAUACAGUGAUUAAUAGAUAUGAGAAAAGAUUAGCAGGAUGGAAAAAGCAAUAUCUAUCUAAGGGGGGGAAAGUCACACUCAUUAAGAGUACUCUCUCAUCCCUUCCUACCUAUUUUUUAUCUUUGUUUCAAAUUCCAUGCUCUGUUGCUCAAAGGAUUGAAAAAAUUCAGAGGGAUUUUCUCUGGGGUGGAAGGGGAGAGGAGUUUAAGUAUCAUCUUGUUAAUUGGGAUCAUGUUUGCCAACCUUUGAGGUUAGGCGGGUUAGGCAUUCGAAAAAUCGUUCCUUUUAAUCGUGCUCUCUUGGGAAAGUGGUCAUGGAGAUUUGGAAGGGAACGCCAUCGUCAGUGGAGAAGAGUUGUCUCGUGUCGUUUUGAUGAGGAGAGUGGGGGCUGGUCAUCUCUUCCAGUCAUUAUUACGGGAGGCGUUGGUGUGGAAAUUCAUUCGGAAGGGCUGGGAUAUUUUCUCCACACACAUUAGACUCAAAGUUCGUGAUGGCAGACAUGUCGUUUUUGGGAGGACCUUUGGUGUGGAGAUCAGUUGCUGUCUCACUCCUUUUCUAGACUUUACAGUAUUGCAGCCAAUAAGCAUGUUUACGUGAUUGAUUGUUAUCAACUUGAUAACAGUGGAGUUAUGUGGGAUGUGCGGUUUAGGCGCUCCUUUCAGGAUUGGGAAAUGGAGGAAGCUUGUGCUUUUUUGGAUACGUUGUAUAGGCAAAAGGAUAUUGGCAGAGGGCGUGAUGAUAUUUUGUGGGUUCCUCUAGCUCAUGGUAGGUUUGGUGUCCGAUCCAUGUUCUUGUGUUUGUCCAAUUUCGUUGGUCACGAGUUCCCUUGGAAGUCUGUUUGGCAUUCUAAAGCUCCUAUUCGAAUGGCAUUCUUUGUUUGGACUGCCACACUGGGAAAUAUUUUGACAUUGGACAAUUUGAGAAAGAGAGGCAACAUCAUUGUUAAUUGGUGCUGUUUAUGUAAAGCUGAUAGUGAAUCCGUGGAUCACAUUCUUUUGCAUUGUCCUAUGACGUAUGAUUGUUGGAGUUUUAUUUUUUGCAUGUUUGGCGUUUUUUGGGUAAUGCCUAAGCACUCCUCACAAUUGAUUAACGCUUGGAGAAGGUGUCCUGAUAAAGAACAAGCUCUUGAUUAUUGGAGGAUUGUUCCACAUUGUGUUCGGUGGUGUUUGUGGUGUGAGAGAAAUAACAAAUCCUUUGAAAGAAAAUAAUCGUCUUUAGCUAAUUUAAAAAUUCAUAUUCUUUGUCCUUUGUUCUGUUAUGUAAGAGGAAAUGCAUGUUCCUCGAUUGAUGAUUUCUUGGAUUUCUUGGAUUCUUUUGGUCCUUAGAUCAUUUUCUCCUUGUAUUAUGGACGUGUUCCCCUUUUGAACGUUUUUCUAAUAUAUUUUUACUUAUCAAAAAAAAAAAAUAAUGGUGCUAUUAGGAUUUUGUCAAGAUAAAGCCCCACGUACUCCAUAUGACUUUUGAUUGGGUUUCAUGCGUAUGAUUGUACAAGUGUAUGCUAUUACUGUAAGUUGCGAAUGUAAUAACGUAGGAUGAGUCUGGUUUAGAUAAGGCCUAAUGGCCUAUUUGACUAUGCCUUCAUUGUUUGGACAACACACUUGUGCAUAUAGUGACCUCAAGUGUGUGUACACUUGUUUGCAUGAAUUACAAAAGUAUUGACUUCAGUCACUUGACUAGACACUACUUUUGCUGAAACCCUUCCCAUGAUGGCUGGAAAGUUGACCCUAGGUUGGGUUCAUUGUCCAGGAUUAAGAAGUUCCACGUUGGCACAAGUUUGGGAUGACGACUUUGUCGUUUUCAGGCUUAGGUGGUAUGGGUUCUGAAACUGAUAGUGUUAGACUUCUUUUAAUUUUCUUUUGUCUACCUUUCUAAUGUCAAUCAUUGGAUUUUGUUGUCAAAAGAAGUCCUUAUUCUCCUCGCAAUCUUUCUAAUGCGGUUGCAAAGCUUUCAUGAACAUUGCUGCCAAUGAGGAUGUGUUAAGAGAAGUCAAUUUCAGCAAUGUAAUGCUGCCAAAUCGCUAUGAAUUAUUCCAAUACAUUAACGGCCUAUUAAACAGAUGUGCUCAGGCUGGAAAAUGUUACUGCCCAGUAUAUGUUAGCCAAGACAGUACUGGUGAGUGCUUCUCAGUUUUUCGUGAUAAAUAUUCCUCACGAUGUUUCAGAAACUGACGCUGCGGAUCAGUACAUUAUAGAUCGAGCAAGUGGCAGAUUAGUUUCUGUCAAUCAUGCUCGGAGUACUUUCAUAGCUCAUUUUAUAGUGGAUCAGGCAUCUACUAGCGAUA